rnacentral:rRNA from 1 species
GCUCAACCGAAGAAGUGCAUCGGAAACUGGAAAACUUGAGUGCAGAAGAGGACAGUGGAACUCCAUGUGUAGCGGUGAAAUGCGUAGAUAUAUGGAAGAACACCAGUGGCGAAGGCGGCUGUCUGGUCUGUAACUGACGCUGAGGCUCGAAAGUAUGGGUAGCAAACAGGAUUAGAUACCCUGGUAGUCCAUACCGUAAACGAUGAAUGCUAAGUGUUGGAGGGUUUCCGCCCUUCAGUGCUGCAGCUAACGCAUUAAGCAUUCCGCCUGGGGAGUACGGCCGCAAGGCUGAAACUCAAAGGAAUUGACGGGGGCCCGCACAAGCGGUGGAGCAUGUGGUUUAAUUCGAAGCUACGCGAAGAACCUUACCAGGUCUUGACAUACUAUGCAAGUCUAAGAGAUUAGACGUUCCCUUCGGGGACAUGGAUACAGGUGGUGCAUGGUUGUCGUCAGCUCGUGUCGUGAGAUGUUGGGUUAAGUCCCGCAACGAGCGCAACCCUUAUUAUCAGUUGCCAGCAUUAAGUUGGGCACUCUGGUGAGACUGCCGGUGACAAACCGGAGGAAGGUGGGGAUGACGUCAAAUCAUCAUGCCCCUUAUGACCUGGGCUACACACGUGCUACAAUGGAUGGUACAACG